GUGAGCCAGAAGUGUGCCACUUGCAGAUCUGCCAUGAAGGUGUAUAUAUCCUCUGUGUCCCUUUCUUGCUUUCCCACUGGCUGGAAUGCAGAUGUGAUGGUGACAGUGGAGGCAGCCACCUUGGGUCAGAUGACAGAAGAACCAAAUGGAAGGAGCCUGGGCUUCUAUUAGUGUGGAGCCACCACUCCAGUCCUAGUCCCUUAAAUGAAAGACAAACUUCCAUCUUGUGUAAGCCAAGAUCACACAAUUUAUUGUAGUUAUUUUAAACUUAUUUAUUUACAGUAGCUGAGGCCAACAAAUCCAUUAGUGAAGGGGAGGUAAAGGAAGCUACACCUGCAGAGCUUCGCUGAGCUGCAUGGGUGUCCCCCGGGUUGUGUGAUCAAUGCAGUUUGUGUUAACCUGGCCGUAAGAUUGCCCUGCUCCAGGGCCUCUUAGGGCCUUGUGACCAUGGGAACUGAUGGAUCUGCAAAGUCUGAGAACUGUCGAAUCUGAGGCCCCAAGUCCAUCUCCUGGACACUGAUCCCAGGGAGUGAGUUCAUUCCUCAAGGCUGCCAACACAAAUGACCAUGACUUGAUGGCUUCAAACAGAGGUGACUUCUCUCAUAGGUCUGGGACCGGAAGCCUGGAAUUAAGGUGCUGACCAGGCUGCUUCCUUCUGGAGAUGCUGAGGGAAGACCCCUGUGUCUCCUCCCUCCUGGGAACUCCAGCAAUCCUCAGUGUUCUUGGCUUACAGACACUGCUCCAGGCUCUGCGUGUCUUCUCCUGUCUCUUACAAAGGUACUUGGUGGAUUUGAGGACCAUGCUAACCAAAGCCUUGCUUCAAUACAGGGCCAUGUUCUGAGGCUCCUGGUGAAACAUAUCUGGGGAGCACCACCCAGUUCACUACAGAGAGAAACACAUGUGAAACUUUGUUUGUUUGUCUAUUUGGGGACAGGGUCUCGCUAUGUAGUUCAGGCUGGCCUUGAACUCGAUGCGUAGCCCAGGCUAGCCUGGAACUCACAGCAAUCCUCCUGCCUCAGCCUCUUAAGCACUGGGAUUACAGGCAGGCACCAUCAUGCCCAGCGAGAAACGUUUUGAGAGUUUGGUCUCUGAAAGUUAUCACCCACUCCAGGGAGGUGAGGGGAAGCAGAAGAAAAAGAAUUGACAUAUAUUACAUGCAAGUAUGAAUUCCCCACAAUGAAUGUAAUCAUUAUGUGAAAAUAUACCAAUAAAAAAUUAAAAAGUUAAAACAAAUUUAUCACCCACUCCAGCCUCC
rnacentral:lncRNA from 1 species